rnacentral:lncRNA from 1 species
ACACCAGAAAGAAAAUAAACUUGAGAAAUAAAAGAGGAACAAGAAGGCAACAAUGUGUCAAAGGUCAUCAAGGUGAAACCUGACAUCCACCACGGCAUCUGAAUGGCCUUGUGCAUGUUGUGCAUUAGCCUACCAAGGAAUGGACAUGGAGGAUACUGUGGUAAAUUAUACAUUCAUUUCUACUAUAGGUCUACCAAGGAAUGGACAUGGAGGAUACUGUGGUAAAUUAUACAUUCAUUUCUACUAUAGGUCUACCAAGGAAUGGACAUGGAGGAUACUGUGGUAAAUUAUACAUUCAUUUCUACUAUAGGCCUACCAAGGAAUGGACAUGGAGGAUACUGUGGUAAAUUAUACAUUCAUUUCUACUAUAGGCUACCAAGGAAUGGACAUGGAGGAUACUGUGGUAAAUUAUACAUUCAUUUCUACUAUAGGCCUAUCAAGGAAUGGACAUGGAGGAUACUGUGGUAAAUUAUACAUUCAUCUCUACUAUAGGCCUACCAAGGAAUGGACAUGGAGG